UCAAUAUUGGUAAACUUCAAAUUUACACCAUGACAUGUGCACUUAUCAAUAAACUUCAGGUUUAUUAUGACAUGGGUUUUUAUACCAAUAGAUAUCUACAUUAUUGUGGCUUUCUUUUGUUUGUGUAAUACAAACUGGAGAAUAAAGCGGGUAGUUUUCACAUACAGAUUAUCUCGCUACAAGUUGUAGUAUUAGAAGAUAUCAAAUCUUUCCUUUAUUU
rnacentral:lncRNA from 1 species